AUUGAACGCUGGCGGCAGGCUUAACACAUGCAAGUCGAGCGGGGUGAUGGUGCUUGCACUAUCACUUAGCGGCGGACGGGUGAGUAAUGCUUAGGAAUCUGCCUAUUAGUGGGGGACAACAUCUCGAAAGGGAUGCUAAUACCGCAUACGUCCUACGGGAGAAAGCAGGGGAUCACUUGUGACCUUGCGCUAAUAGAUGAGCCUAAGUCGGAUUAGCUAGUUGGUGGGGUAAAGGCCAACCAAGGCGACGAUCUGUAGCGGGUCUGAGAGGAUGAUCCGCCACACUGGACUGAGACACGGCCCAGACUCCUACGGGAGGCAGCAGUGGGGAAUGUUGGACAAUGGGGGGACCCUGAUCCAGCCAUGCCGCGUGUGUGAAGAAGGCCUUAUGGUUGUAAAGCACUUUAAGCGAGGAGGAGGCUCUUUUGGUUAAUACCCAAGAUGAGUGGACGUUACUCGCAGAAUAAGCACCGGCUAACUCUGUGCCAGCCGCCGCCGUAA
rnacentral:rRNA from 1 species